UACGAAGGGGGCUAGCGUUGUUCGGAAUUACUGGGCGUAAAGCGCGCGUAGGCGGAUUUGCCAGUCAGGGGUGAAAUGCCAGGGCUUAACCUUGGAACUGCCUUUGAUACUGCAAGUCUGGAGUACGGGAGAGGUGAGUGGAAUUCCGAGUGUAGAGGUGAAAUUCGUAGAUAUUCGGAGGAACACCAGAAGCGAAGGCGGCUCACUGGCCCGACACUGACGCUGAGGCGCGAAAGCGUGGGGAGCAAACAGG
rnacentral:rRNA from 1 species